AAAAAAACAAAAAUUCUAUAGAUAAAUUUUAACGCAUAAAUAAAUUUUUUAUGGUUUAAAAAAUUUAUUUUAAGUUUAUUUUACAUAUAAAUUUUAGUGGUUAUUGUUAAUUAUUUAGAAAAUAUUUAAUAUUUAAGUAGUAAUUAAUAUUAAAAAUUUAAGAAAUUAAGAUUUAGUAAUAUGAAAAAUUAAUAACUAAUUUUGUGCCAGCAGUUGCGGUUAAACAAAAGUUAAUUUUGAAUUUUUUUAGUAAUUAAUAAAUAAAAAUAAAAAAAAAUAAUUUAAAUUUAAAAUUAUAAGGUGAAAUUUUAAUUUUAUAAAAAAUUAUUUAAAAAAUAUUAUGAAUUAAUAAAUUUUAUUAUAAACUAGGAUUAGAUACCCUAUUAUUGAAAAUUUAAAUUAAUAAUGCUUAAAUAGUAGAUAAUUAAAUAUUGAAACUUAAAUAAUUUGGCGGUAUUUUAGUUUAUUUAGAGGAAUCUGUUUAAUAAUUGAUAAUCCACGAUUAAAUUUACUUAAUUUAAUAUUUUGUAUAUCGUUGUUAAAAAAAUAUUUUUUAAUAAUUAAAUAAUAUUUAAAAUUUAAAAAUAAAAGUUAAAUCAGAUCAAGAUGCAGAUUAUAAUUAAGAAUAUAAUGGAUUACAAUAAAUUUAUUUAAUUUGGAUUUUAAAAUGAAAUAUUUAAAUGAAAUUGGAUUUAAAUGUAAUUUUAUUUAAAUUAAUAAAAUGAUUUAAUAUUAAAAUAUGUACAUAUUGCCCGUCGCUUUCAUUUAUAAAUUGAAAUAAGUCGUAACAAAGUAGAGGUACUGGAAAGUGUUUCUAGAAAGAC
rnacentral:ncRNA from 1 species